rnacentral:lncRNA from 1 species
AAAAACCUGGUUCAUCUGGAUUUGCAAGGUAACCAUUUCCAUGGUGGGAUACCUGAAUACUUGGCUAAGCUACCGCUCACGAUACUGGAUUUGUCCUACAACAAUUUCACAGGAGAGCUACCUGGCAAGUUGUUUGAGUCAUCAACCUUUUUGGAACUCAGUCUCGACAACAAUAACCUUACUGGCCAUAUACCUGAGAGCAUUGGCAAGCUCCACAGCUUGCAGAGGUUGCGGAUGGGCAGUAACCACUUGGAAGGACCUAUCCCACUGGCAGUCGGCGCUCUAGAGAAUUUGACAGAAAUAUCUCUUGAUGGGAAUAGACUAUCUGGGAGCAUCCCGCAAGAGCUCUUCAACUGCAGAAACCUAGUCAAGCUAAACCUGAGCUCUAAUAGUCUGAUGGGACCCAUCCCGAGGUCCAUAUCUCAGUUGACUUCAGUCACUGGCUUGGUUUUGUCUCACAACCAGCUCUCUGGUUCCAUUCCUGCUGAGAUAUGUGGGGGUUUCACGAACCCAACUCAUCCUGAAUCAGAGUAUGUUCAACAUCACGGCUUUCUUGAUCUGUCAUAUAACCUGUUGAGUGGUCGUAUCCCCCCCGCGAUCAAGAAUUGUGUUAUUCUGGAGGAGCUACUCCUGCAAGGUAACUUGCUGAAUGGAUCUAUUCCUGCAGAGGUUGCUGAGCUGAAGAAUAUUACGAAGAUUGAUCUCUCUUUUAAUGCAUUAGUUGGGCCUAUGCUUCCUUGGUCUGCGCCAUUGCUCAAGCUGCAAGGCCUUUUUCUCUCUAAUAACCACCUAAGUGGCAAUAUUCCUGCUGAGAUAGGCCGCAUUCUUCCCAACAUUGCAGUUCUAAACUUGUCCGGUAAUGCAUUUAUGGCUACUCUGCCCCAAUCUCUACUAUGCAGCAAGACUCUGAACCGUCUAGAUGUCAGUAACAAUAACCUCUCUGGUAAAAUCCCGCUAUCUUGUACUGGCUAUGGAGAAUGGUCGAGCUCACUGAUCUUCUUCAAUGCAAGCAGUAACCAUUUGUCAGGGAGCCUAGAUGAGUCUAUCUCAAAGUUCAGACAACUGUCUUAUCUUGAUAUCCACAACAAUAGCCUCACCGGAAGCUUGCCAUCAGCAUUGUUCAAUCUUAGUUUUUGGGGCUAUCUUGAUCUCUCAAAGAAUGAUUUCAGUGGUGCCAUUCCUUGUGGUAUAUGCAAUAUAUCAAACAACGGAUUUGUCAAUAUCUCUGGCAACAAUUUUGGCAUGCAUAGCUUAUCAGAUUGUCCUGCAUCAGGCAUUUGUGCUGCAGAUAGUAUCAAUCGUAGGGGCAGCCAUACCCCUCAUGUAAUUCUAACAGUAGUGGCCAUUUGUGUUGCUGUCACCGUCGUCAUUGUGGUUCUUCUGGUAUUUUUUCUGAGAUGGAAGCUGUUGAGGAACAACAGGUCACUGCCUCUUGUCCCUACCACUGCCAGUCAAUCCAGUGCUACAACUGAGCCAAGCUCAAUGGAACCUCCGAGCAUCAAUCUCGCUACAUUUGAGCAUGCACUGCUGAGGUUCACCCUAGAGGAUAUCCUGAAAGCUACCAAUAAUUUCAGUAAUGUGCACAUCAUAGGCCAAGGUGGCUUUGGGACUGUCUACAAGGCAGCGCUGCCUGAAGGCCGGAGAGUCGCGAUAAAGAGGCUUUACGGUAGCCACCAGUUCCUCGGUGACCGCCAAUUCCUUGCCGAGAUGGAGACCAUCGGAAAGGUGAAGCAUCGUAACCUUGUUCCCUUACUUGGCUACUGCGCUCGUGGUGAUGAGCGUUUCCUCAUCUAUGAACACAUGAGUCACGGGAGCCUUGAAACGUGGCUGAGGGACCGAGCAAAUGCUCCUAAAGCAAUUGGAUGGCCUGACCGUCUCAGGAUCUGCAUCGGUUCUGCCCACGGGCUCAUGUUCCUCCACCAUGGCUUCGUGCCCCGUAUCAUCCAUCGGGACAUGAAGUCGAGCAACAUCCUGCUGGACGAGAACAUGGAGCCCAGGAUCUCAGACUUUGGCCUCGCAAGGAUAAUCAGCGCGUAUGAUACUCAUGUCAGCACCAACGUUGCCGGCACGCUUGGCUACAUUCCCCCAGAGUACGCGAUGACCAUGAAAUGCACGGCCAAGGGGGAUGUCUUCAGCUUCGGCGUCGUCAUGCUGGAGGUGCUCACCGGGCGGCCACCUACAGGGCAAGAGGUGGAAGAAGGGGGUGGGAACAUUAUUGACUGGGUGCGGUGGAUGAUCGCGCAGGGUCGGGAGGGUGAGCUGUUUGAUCCUUCCUUACCAGUCUCAGGUCUGUGGCGGGAACAGAUGGUGCGUGUGCUUGCCAUCGCUCUGGACUGCACCGCCGACGAGCCACGGAAUAGGCCGACCAUGCCGGAUGUGGUGAAGGGCCUCAAGAUUGCUGAGCUGAUGGAAAGUGAACCUCACGACCUCCCUGGACGUGUGGCGCAGCCAUGAUCUUGCCAUGCACUGCUGCCUACUGGUAUGUUUUUAUUUGUUUAUUUAUUUACUAAGAGCUUCAUAGAAAUUAGCAGUACUAAACUCAUGCUACUUCUGCCGGAUCCAUCAGCUCUUCUGUCCUUUAUGUGGUCUUAAAAUGCUAACAUAUAACAAAAGUUUAAGUAUAUAAACCUGGAUAAAUGCAGCCUCUGCAGCAAGUUCCAAAAUAGCCAAUUGCAUUAGCUGGGUUCUUUUGGGUGUACAAGUGCUAGAAUACUGCAUUUUCAUACAGGUUUAGUGCUCAUACUGUAACCUAGACCAGCUUGGACAGCAGUACUGAUCAUGUGACUUCGCAUUGGCAGCCUGUACUUCCUGGAGAUCAACCUACCAAAGGAGAUGAGCUUGGAGCGUAUAACGACACCCCUACAACUAUUUUUCAACUUCACAGCAGCAUCUGAAGUGGGCAACGACUCGUCAGUCUGUCAGGCAAUUGGGCGUGCAUGUGUUAGGGCAAAGAGAAUAAUAAGGCGCCAAACCGAAAUAAAAACUUUGGCCUAAGAUUGGUGCACUAGCCAUGUAAUGUUUAUGCUGUUGUAGUGUUGUACUCCUGGUCCGCGAUGAACAUCAACUUGUCGCCGGGUAAUAAAUUUUAACUGGAACCAUGACAUCCUGAUCGCGGUAUUAUUAUUUUGUUUCGCCUGCCUGGCUGUGCAGCCAAACUGCUGCCAGUGAUUUCUAAAGAAUUUUGUAGGAAUCUGUACUAGUUCUAGUGAAAUUCUGAUGCGAUCCAAAGUAUGCGCCAAAAUUUGAACUCUCUAUCAUUAAGCGACACGACUAAAAUUUAACACUCUUGGCAGUCCCUACAGCCAUGGAGAGCCGUGGAUUACUGUUAAACAGAAGUUUCAUUUUACUCUGAAUCGCAUCAUCUCUCACCGUGUUUGCUAGAAACGUGUUCAGGUAAUAACAGAUCAGAAAGACUUUGUUGCUUGGCAGUUGGCACUAUGAUGAAGAGAGUGGAAUUUUCACUAUUAAAAAUACGUACAAAAUUGGACGUAUGUGGUCUAUGGAUUACAAGUUCAGCACACACAUGUCGAUUUUUGAAUUGCACGUCUUUGGAGGGCAGUUAGAAAAAGAAAAUAGCGCUGCAUAUUCCAAUCACGAGUAGUACUGAGGGCUCCGCAGUGCAAAUUGCUUCGAGAAACAUUUUUACUUCAGCUUUUUUUGGAAACGUUUUCUUAGUGAAUUCGCGAGAUCGUUGAUGGUGUCCACCACCAGAGAAGGUUCAAGGUUGCACAACACUUAUAGGCUUAGUGCAGGAGAGCACAAUCGCGUGGCACAUGGGCUGGCACAACUCACUAGGCAUAUAACAAACAUUGUUGUGGCAUUUUCAAGCGCUUCUAGGUGUGGAGCUGGAAUUUUUUCUUAGUACUCCCUCCGUUUUUAUUUAUAAGGCACACACGUAUAUCAGGAUUUAAAUUUUGCAAUCUUUGACCAAUAAUUUGACUAUUAAUUUUUUAUUUUUAUAAUGUAAACUUUAUAUGGUUGGAUUCGUAAUCAAAUAUACUCUACAAUGAUUAUAAGUUUAUAACCAUAAACAAUAUACUAUAAGAUAAAUAAAUGGUCAAAUUGUUAUUUGGAAUACCGUGCUAAAUUAUACCAUACCUUGUAAACAUAGAUGGAGGGAGUAAUAUAUAACGUUUUAUUUUUCCUUUGAAAACUAGGACCGAGAAAAUGUCCACGCUCAUGUCAUGGGGUCUUUAAAUGGGAAAAAAUAAUUUAAUUUCUUUUUUAGACAGAAAAAGGCAAAUAGUUUGCUUUUACUCGCUCGCAACAAGAAAUGUUCUUUGUCCUGUAUAUGGGUAUAUGACGAUUACUGAAUUCAAUAGAGUAAUAGCUGUUUAAUGUUGUAAGGUAUAGUGAAAUGAAUGUCCUACUAAAAUGCAUAUUUUCACUAUACAGGAAUGCAAAAAUAUCUCCACACACCCAAACUGCGAGAACAGUAAUUUUUCUUCCAAAUAAUGAAAAAUGUGCGAAAAAGAUAAAAGGAUGAAAGUUACUAUUAGAAAACAUAAAUGUGCAUUCAAAAUGUGAAAAUUAGUCCAUCCACAUAUGACUUUAGAAAAAUCAUAACUAUUUCAUGUGAUCUCAAAUGGAUAUGAUCUUUAUAGUUGUAGCUCUCAAUGCAAUCUACAACUUUGUAGUUGAUACGUUUUCAAUUUCAAAACUGUAUUUUUUAGUCUGAAAGGCAGCUGUAAAGUUUUGACAUGCGUUAAUUCUCGGAUCUUUUUAGAUCGGAAACUAGUCAUGAACUAUAUAGCUUCCUUUUGGCCACUAAAAUAGUGCCAAAUAAAAGAUUACUAACAAUAAAGUUGUAGAUUGCAUCAAAAGCUAAAAUUUACAUAUAAAGCUUCAUUGGAGACUCGGGGAGCAUGUGGUCGACUUAUGAUUUGUUUUCAAAAGUCACCCGUUGAUGGACUAAUUUUUGCACUCCUAAAUACGCGAACAUAGUUUUCAAUAGUAACUUUCCCUCCUUUAAUAUUUUUACGCAACAAGUAUUUUGGGUUCCCUAUUUGCAAGAGCGAAAUUAUCCAUUUUCUUUUCAGAAGAAUGUAAAAUAUUUUUUUACCUUUCAAAGAUGAUAGCAUAAUAUUUAAUUAUGUAAUUUGUUCAUUCUUGCGUUAUUCCUAUAAUAUCCAUAUUGAUUCAUUACAAAACUAAUUUUUUAGGGGAUUUUCAAUAGGGGCAAAUGGGUAAUGCAGAAGAACUGAAGCCAUGGCAGGCAAUGAAUGUGGUACCGUCUAGCAAAUUAAAGUUCAGGAUUCUCCAAGAAAGGAUUUUGCUUCGAUUUCUCCCGGAAACGUUUUGUUGGUGAAUUCGCGAGAUCCCGGAUGGUGUCCAUCACCAGGGAAGGUUCAAGGUUGCUACAACGCUUCACGUUUAGUGUUGAAUAGCGUGUAAAUCAUGUGACGCGUAGGUUGGCACGACUCGCUAGGCGUAACAUACAUUGUUGUGUGGCAUUUUCAAGCGCCUCUAUGUGUGGAGCAAAUUAACAUGAUUUUUUCUUAGUAAUACAUAAAGCUCUAUUUUCCUUUAGAAAAACUAAUACUAUAGCAAGUUUGUACAUUCCUGGCAUCUUAAGAAAAGGCAAAGAGUUUGCUCAAUGUCAUCCGCAAAAUUUUUUUUUGCAGCAUCUUCUAUAUAGAAGCCCAUGACAACGACUGAAUUCUAUAGAGUAGGAGGUGUUUACUGCUGUAAGGUGAACCAAAAUGAAAAUCCUGCUAAAAAAUGGAUGGUUUAUCAUGAACCAAAAUGAAAAUCCUGCUAAAAAAAUAGAUGGUUUAUCAAAGCUACAAUAAAGAGGAAAUCACCCUAGCAGGUGAACGGCGUGGCACCAUCACGAGAAUAAGCAUGAACCAUGCUGAUAAAUACCUACCGGAACAGGGAGCCAGGGCACUCAUGUCUUCAUUCCUGCGCAUUCUGCUCCCUCUCUCGCUCGCCGCAUCGCCGACGCGAGACAGAGACUGAGGCUGGCCGAGGUAGCGAGCGAGAUCAUCGGCGUCCCUCCGCUCACUCCAUCUCGUGGUAUUGCAACACACUUCCCUUCUUGCAUAUGUAGUUGUUGUGCCUGCGUUGUUCACUUGUUGUGGCGGAGUCUGUUCGCUUGUUGCGCAUAGUCCGUUCUUGUAGAUUUGAUCCCUGUAGACGGGUAGUGUUUAGUCGUUGGGUUGGAAUAGGCAAUCGAUGAAAGGCUGGGCAUAUUGAUAGACCAGAUCAAACGUGGUGCGACCGCGCUCUACAUCGAACGUAGAGAUCUAUCUGAGGUGUUGACCGUCAUAUGGGAUUUCACAAUUUAGAUCUGUUUACUGAUGUUCUCGUUCUCCUUAGAUUUUACUACCGCACGAAGUUCACGUGGCCUUUUUCUAUCUUGUGAUUCUCUACUUAAUUAUAUGUUUCUUUUUUUUCUCCUAAAUUGUUAUCUUUUUGUAGGCUCUAGUUCAUUUGUAUUGCAAUUUCGGUCAUCCUUAUUUCAUUUUGAGAUAAAAGAGUUGUGGACCUUUAAUUAUCUUACAUAUCUCGUUAUCAUUGGUGUAAAGCUUGUCGCAUUUGUGUAUGUGUGUUGUUCACUUAUUGUGUGUAGUCCGUUCACUUAUUGUGUCUAGUCAUUUUCUUCUUGUGCGUGGUCCGUUCACUUGCUGUGUGUAGUCCAUUUGCUGGUUGUGUGCAGUCUGUUGGGUCAUAUGUGCAGUUGGUGGAAGGUUAGGUAUAUAGUGGAAGGAUAGAAUAUGGCAUGACCAUGAUCUACAGUAUGAAAGCUUAACAAAACUUUGAUGGUUAGAUGGUAGCUACUAGAAAAGCUGAGUUGCCUCAUUGUUGCGUAAUAGGUAUUUCACAAUUUAGAUCUCCAUUUCUCCUUGGAGUUUAUUUCUACACAAAGUUCAUGAGGCUAUUUUUUGGCUUGAGAUCCUAUGCUUAUAUGUUACUUUUUUUCCUAAAAAACUACUAUUUUUUGUCCAUCCUAGUCCCACCUUCAUUUUGUACAAGACGAUUUUUCUAUUUAUUUGUAUUGCAACGAGUUAUCUUUCGAUCUUGCUUGUUGCCUUUUCUGAGACGAUAGAAUUGUGAAAGCCGUGGAGCUUUGAUUACCUUUCUUAUCUUGUUGCUAGUGGUAUAACCCUCAUCGUGGUUGUGCAUGUGUUUUGCUCACUUCUUGUGCGUAGUCAAUUUGCUUGUUGUGUGUAAUUCAUUCUUAGAGCAUUAGUCCAUGUGGACGUGUACUCGUGUAGUGUACAAGCAUUGGGUUGGGAUAGGCAAUCGAUGGAAGGCUUAUCAAUGGAUGCAAUAGAUCAAACUGAUCUGCAUUAUGAAACUUUAAUCAAACUCUGUCAGUCAGUAGAGGUCAUACGUAUCAGCUCCCUUUUAGAACCGUCAAGGGAUUUCACGAUCUAGAUCUGUCUUCAUGAUGUUUUCCUUCUCGGUAUUUACUCUUAUGCGAAGUUCAUGAGACUACCAUUUUGCUUUGCGAUCCCAACUUAUAUGUUGAUUUUUCCCAGAAUUGCAUAUUGAGAUGGUAGAAUUGCAUUGUCUUUAUUACCCUACAUGUAUAGUUAUUGGCGGUGCAACACUCUUAAAUGCUUACUCUCUUCUUCUUUUUUUUUGUUUUUUACAGGGUCUAUUUCUGGCAGACACGCUCCGAUUGCAUUGCUGAAGCAGAGUCUUUGGAAUUCCUACUUCGAGCUCGGAAUCAUGGCUCCAAAGGUAGUGUCUAAGAUGCCUUUGCUGUUUGACCACUCAAUUACUCGUUCCAUGGUGUAUUUCAAUUUCCAUGUAUUUUCCCCCAUCAAGUGUUUUUUUGUUGCGGUUGUACAUGCCUUGCUCGUUAUGAUCGACUGAUCGUGCAGGGGGGCAUCGUACAUUACAUUUUUUUUUUGAAACGGUACGUUACUUGUUAGCGUUCAAACGUAUACUAUCAAAGAUACCAAAGGAAAUCCACGUCAGCCUUGCAACCCCACUUGCUUGUCAUCUUUACAUCCGAGCCAUCCGUGGCAACCUAGAUGAAAUCAAGGCCGUUCAUCCCUAUGUUACCCAAUAGACACGGCCACCCGGCAGGGGAAAACACUAGCGGCGCCGGGCGCCGGCACGGCAGCGCACAACCCGGCGGUCGGCGGAUCCCGGUAGGUGGCGCGCCGACGCUGGAGGCCUGAAGGCCGGACCGGCAGCGGCGCCUGGAGGCUGGACGCGCGGCCGGCGUGCUUUGCCGGUGCGCCGUGCAGCCGGAUGCGGGGUGCCCGGCGAGGAGGCGAGCACGCAGGCGCCGAUGUGAGCGUGUGGGAGAUGUGGCGCGGCAGACUGCCGGUGCCCCAAUCCUCCUGAUUCCCCAAUCCGGCAUUGAAGCAAGUCGGUCUGUCAGUUCUGUGCUCCUUUUCCAAUCCGUCAGUCCCUCAGUUGAACAAAUUGAAUUCGUCAUUCAUGGGUUACUUAUGAUACAAUCUGUAGAUUUCUAGUAGAAUUACUCAAUCGGGAGGAAGACAUUGAAAUUCUUUUAUUCUCCCUCUCCUAUGCCUAUAAUUCAAGUUCAAUCUCAAUCUAAAACAAUAGUACAUCUGGAACUAGAAACAGUAGGAGAUGAACCAAAUCGGCACAGUUAGAUAUUCCUUUUAUACAGCUUCAAAGUUUUUAUCAAGUUUGUUGUACAAUUAGACUUGAAAUUGAAUUAUACUCUAAAUCAUGCAUUUUAUGCUUCAGUACUGUUAAAUCAUGCAUUUUUUUUCGUUUCAAAAAAAGUACCGUUCCAUAUCGUUAUGUGCUUGGUUUCGAUGGUUUUAGGCCCUUAUAAGUUGGCCCUAGGCGUGUGAACUCGCCACCUCCGCCACUGAUUACAAACCUAGUAGAUAUCUGGUUUAGCAUGAGUAUACCAAUACAGCAGCAUCUCUUUUCUUAGACACACGAUUAGUAUAAGCCCUGCACAAGCAUGAGCCAUUGCCAAAUAGAGACCCACUGGUUGAAGUACUUGUAAUAGGAACUUUUCUCAGUUUGUAAGGAAACUGAAAAAUAAGCAGUGCAAUCAUUUUAUAAACCAGAACCAACUUUUAACUUAUUAUGUGCGAUGUACUCUCAUUUUAGAUUCAUUCUUUUAGCAUUUUACGGUCCUUCAUUGGUUGAAGGUGUUGGUAUUGUUUAUAACUUUGUUACCUGCACAUUUAUAACUUUUAUUUUAACUUUGCCUUUCAUUUUUGCAGGAUGGAAUCAGCUUAUUGGUCCUAUUUGUCUGCUUCAUCGCUAGCUCUGCAUUUGCUGAAUCUGAUAUAAACAAUCUAUAUGCUCUGAGGCAGGCAGUCGCUGAAUCAAAAGGCUUCCUUCAGGACUGGUUUAGUUCAGAAACUCAGCCAUGCAACUGGAGGGGUAUAACUUGUAAAGGAAGCGCUGUUGUGGCCAUAGAAUUGUCAUCUGUGCCACUCCGUGUCCCUUUUCCGUUAUGCAUCACAGCAUUCCGGUCACUUGGUUGGCUCAACCUAAGUAGGUGUGAUUUAUCUGGUAUGAUUCCAGAAGCCUUGGGAGAUUUGCAGAAUCUCCAGUACCUGGACUUGAGCAAUAACCAACUUACUGGGCCCAUGCCUUUCUCGUUAUAUGAUUUGAAGAUGCUAAAAGAAAUAGUGCUAGACAGAAACAAGUUGUCUGGACAAUUGAGCCCUGCCAUUGCUCAGCUUCAGAACCUCACUAAGUUAUUGAUAUCCAAGAACAACAUCUCUGGAGUACUUCCUCCGGAGCUGGGCAGUCUGAAGAACCUAGAGGUCCUGGGCUUUCACCAGAACAGAUUUGAUGGAUCAAUACCAGAAGCUUUUGGCAACCUAACUCGGCUCUUCUACCUUGAUGCAAGCAGAAAUAAGCUCACUGGUUCAAUAUUUCCUGGAAUAAGCGCAUUGCUGAACCUGCUGACACUUGAUUUCUCUUCAAAUAGUUUGGUGGGGCCAAUACCUAAUGAGAUUACUCAUCUGAAAAUGCUGGAGCGUUUAGCUUUGGGGUUCAAUCAUUUCACUGGAGGGAUUCCAAAAGAGAUCGGUAACAUGAAGCACCUAAAAGAACUCUCUCUCACUGAAUGCAGCUUAUCAGGCACCAUCCCUUGGUCAAUUGGUGGUCUUAGAAGCUUAGUGGAACUUGACAUAUCAGGCAAUGACUUUAACUCAGAACUCCCAGCAUCUGUUGGUGAUUUGGGCAAUAUGACUAUCCUGAAUGCAAGGAAGGCAAAGCUCGUAGGGCGUAUACCAAAAGAGCUUGGCAGCUGCAAGAAGCUUACUCUUCUACGUCUGUCUUUUAAUUCCUUCACUGGCAGUAUACCUGAAGAACUUGCAGGUUUAAAAAAUAUUGCCCAUUUUGAAGUGGAAGACAACCAACUGUCAGGUCCUAUUAGUGAUUGGAUUAAAAAAUGGGCAAAUGUUGUUUUUGUAAACCUUGGAAAUAACAAGUUCUAUGGUUUGGUACCACCUACCAUAUGUCAAGCCAAGUUGCUGCAGUCACUCGACCUGCAUUGUAACGAUCUGACUGGGAGUAUCAAGGAGACAUUCGAGGGCUGCAAAAACCUGGUUCAUCUGGAUUUGCAAGGUAACCAUUUCCAUGGUGGGAUACCUGAAUACUUGGCUAAGCUACCGCUCACGAUACUGGAUUUGUCCUACAACAAUUUCACUGGAGCGUUACCAAGCAAGUUGUUUGAGUCAUCAACCAUAUUGGAAAUGAACCUCGACAAUAAUAAGCUUACUGGCCAUAUCCCUGAGAGCAUUGGUAAGCUCCGCAGCUUGCAGAGGUUGCGGAUGGGCAGUAACUGCAUGGAAGGACCUAUCCCAC